GUGGGGAAUAUUGGACAAUGGGCGCAAGCCUGAUCCAGCCAUGCCGCGUGAGUGAUGAAGGCCCUAGGGUUGUAAAGCUCUUUCAACGGUGAAGAUAAUGACGGUAACCGUAGGAGAAGCCCCGGCUAACUUCGUGCCAGCAGCCGCGGUAAUACGAAGGGGGCUAGCGUUGUUCGGAAUUACUGGGCGUAAAGCGCACGUAGGCGGAUCGUUAAGUCGGGGGUGAAAUCCCGGGGCUCAACCCCGGAACUGCCUUCGAUACUGGCGAUAUAGAGUUCGAGAGCGGUGAGUGGAAUUCCGAGUGUAGAGGUGAAAUUCGUAGAUAUUCGGAGGAACACCAGUAGCGAAGGCGGCUCACUGGCUCGAUACUGACGCUGAGGUGCGAAAGCGUGGGGAGCAAACAGGAUUAGAUACCCGAGUAGUCC
rnacentral:rRNA from 1 species